UCAUGUGAAUUCAUUUAAUCAUUAAUUACUUCCUUUGACAUUUGUUUUAACCUAGUAUCUUUUGUAACAAAACAUACAUUACCUUACUACUGGUCAUUUCUUUUCAGACUCGGGGGAAUCAUCUGCCGAACUAUCUAUGGAGACGUGGGCUUGAAAAAUCCACGUAUGUUCUGGAGAAGCAAAAAGACCAUGCCCUGUACAAAACCAUCGGGACGUAGGUAUUCCUGGACCCAAUCCAAUUGUGGACCGAAUCCAGUUAUGGAGGCAGAAGCACUGGGCUGCGAGGAAAAGAUAUGUGUUCUACGUUGCCAUUGACUCCUUGGCGGAAAAAGUUUAAAACAUGAAGGAUCUGCAGGAAGUUGGUGUUCUAAAUUUUGAAGCUCUCAGGUAGUAAAAAAAUCAGCAAGUCAUUGUUUCCCAAGGUCGUGGAGGAGGUCACUCUAUUACAACUGAUGAUUGACAAGGUUGGGUCGACAUCCUUUUCUUAAAACUCAUGUAGGUGGUAGUACACACAAAACAACAAGACCUGGAUAGUCUUCAACUUGUAGCAUACUGUGUAAUCAACUGAAUCCACCGAUCAACAUUCUUCCAUUACAAUUGGUACUGUUGUGUGGGAUCCUUAAAGCCUCAGCAAAUCCAGGACUCCAACUGCUGACUCUUGAUGGUCAAUGCUGCCAACGAUCAUAAGUGAACUAGCUGCCUUGUCUUGUGACCUGUAAGUGGUCCCAACAACAAUCUAACCACCGGCAAACUCCAUUGUUUCUGGAAUGGCUAUUUCAAUAUUCAAACUACUAUUUCUUCUACAUCAUCUUUCUCUCCAGUAGGCGCAUUUCAAGUUACCAUGUUGAAACUCCAGUGACUACAUUGCCGAAUAACUGGUUGAACCUUCAGUUACCAUAUUAGAACAUACCUUUUUAAGGAGAGAAGACAUGAAUUAAUAAAACCUCCGGAUCAGUACUUAAGAGUGAAAGAGCCUUGCCGACUUAGUUAUUUCCAUUUCUGUUCGGUGAGCUCAGUAAUUUCCACUAACUGGCACACUCACGCUGAAGUGGCACAGCUGCUGCACAGAAAUCUGGUGAAAUCCCAAAAAAUAGACCCUUAAAGUCGGUCUGAAUACCGAUAAGUGAACAUUCGAAAGCGUCCUAGUCCACGAAUGUCGGUUUUGCAGAAGCGCUGGGGAAACGAUAAAAUACGCACCUCUCUGUCGACACACUUGGAGGGACCUGAGGAGUGCUGGCUGACUUCGGCGGAGUUGCAGUGCUCACGCCAACUUUGCCAUUCCUGGCAACAACCUCAGCUCACCAUGGAUUCCGUUCGAUGUGUCCACGCGAUCGGUAACUCCGCAAGCUUAACAGCUGGUUACCGGCGAUUGAGCUAUCUCACCAGCCCUGCGACCCCACCGUCGGUCGCAGGCUUCAGGCUCAACCAUGCAUACCUAUCGUCUACCCUGCACUGCCACGAAUCGGCUCCUCCGCACCAGCGAACGACGAAGGGUUUGCGCCCCUCUCCGAUUCGCGGUGUGAUGGCGCCUCAGUGGGAAGCGCCGAGUGCUGAAGACCUCACACCUUCUGUCUCGCUACCAGCUACGAAGCUGUGUUUUCUCCUGGUGUGCGAUGGGUUGAACUCCAUGGAGCAACGGGCUUACCUCAAGCUGCAAGAGCGCGGUCAUGAGGUCUUGGUGCAUAUCUGGAGGGACGGGGUUGAACUCCAUGGAGCAACGGGCUUACCUCAAGCUGCAAGAGCGCGGUCAUGAGGUCUUGGUGCAUAUCUGGAGGGACGGCGAAACGAUGAUCGCCGAUGUCCAACAUAUCCAACCCGACGUCAUUCUGUGUCCAUUUCUCCACGAAACGCAUCCCCUCUGACAUCAAGGUUCCAUGUCUCGUCAUCCAUCCUGGAAUUGAAGGCGAUCGGAGUGUGUCGUCCAUUGACUAUUGCAAUAGUCGCAGCCUAUCGGUAGAUUCAUUCAUCCACCUCGACACUCACUGGAACAGUAACUCCGUUCCUGAUUCCAGGUAUAUGUAACAGUCUCCGUUUCUUGUAAUACUCUCCUGUUUUAUCAACGUAUGUAUGUAUGUAUGUAUGUAUAUAAUUACUUACAUAAUAGGAGUUACAUAGAUGUAGGUAAAUUUGAGAUUAUCUUGUAGAGAAGUUUUAUAGAUGUGGAUUUGACUUUAUAAGUAUUUGUGUAUAACUUUUACAUUGAAAAUUUAAUAAAUAAGUCAGCUAAGUGUCAC
rnacentral:lncRNA from 1 species